ensembl:lncRNA
AUUGGACAAUACAACGUGUGGAUUAUCACAUUGUUUUACUACAAUUUGAUGAACUCCCAAAACAAACGAAGUUCAAGGAUUUUUUGGACAGCAGAGUCACCUACAUCUAUGGUGAGUUUUGUUCUAUUAUAAAUAACUCUCGUUAAGUGUUAGGAGUAAGAAUGUAAUGACUGUUUUCGCAAGUUCUAAACCAUUGGCGGGAAAACAAGUUAUAGAAACAGAGCUUGAAAUAAACAGCGUUGUCCUGAGAUGAAAUACCUACAGUAACCCUUGUUUCUUCGUGUGUCCACAAGUUUGGUUGCUUUCUAUUUUUUGUUUCUUUGUUUAUCCUCAAUUUGGGAUGUUCGCAUAUCAACAGUUUAACAGGUGUGGUAACAUCGUUAGCUAACUUGUCUAAAUUGUGUUUCUUAGGGUAUCAACAAGUUUGAAUUUUAUAAUAUGGGCUUACUCCUUGUAACUUUUAUCAACUGAUACGUAACGUUGGCUAAAUCGUGUUUCUUUGUGUAACGUUAUCCACAUGUGGACUUGUUUCAAUUCCGUUAAUGAGGUGUCUGUGUAUCCACAUUGUUUUUAGCUAGCCUGUGUGUCUUAUGCUGCCGUUUUUUUUAACUUAUUUUAUAAACAUUGCUUUCAGGUGAUGCCGUUUUCUGUAGUAUUGUUCCCGGAGGAGGAUGACUGUGUGGCAGCAGUUCCACGCCAGUACUCCAAGGCACCAGAGAGGUACUCCAUGCCACCAUGUAAAGGAUGGCUACAUAAGUGUGGGUUCAUUCACUUAACCCAGAUGCUUAACUUGUUAUUAAAGCAUGUUUCUUCCAAUUUAAUUUGUCAAUUUCAAUUUAUUUUUAAGGGCAAAAAGGCAGAGGUAGGGGGACGUUUUAGCUCUGCACAAGAAGGUAAGAAUGAACAUUUUGGCGGGCACUGCGAUUUGAGUUCUGAUUAUAAAAUAACCAGAUAUUUAGGACUGAAUAAUUAACUGUUUGUCUUUACUUUCUGAACAUUUAGAAAAGAUCAAGUGGCUGACUGAAGAGAAGGUCGAGCUGAGGGCACAGCUGGCUCUACAAUCAGGUAAAAACAAGACUAUUGUUACGCUAGCAUCUUGUCUUAAUGAAACUGAAUUUGUCUGAACGUGUGCCCUUUCCUGAAAUGCAAUACUGUACAGCCUUUCUGAAAUUACAUGUAUAUGGCAGUUUUGUUUAUUUCACUAUUAAGCUAUUGACAUUGUUCUUUUUAGCUUCUGAUAAACGUCUGACUGAAAAUAUUGUCAAGCCGAGGGCACAGCUGCCUCUACAAUCAGUUAAAAACAAGACUAUAGUUGCACUAGCAUGUUGUCUUCAUGAAACAUUUAAUUUGUCUUGAAUGUCAUGCAAUUCUCAAAAUUAUGUCAGACCAUUUAAGUACAAUAUCUGUUUGCUGUAUUACAGGAACCAUAAGGAAGAAUCUUUCCAACCGGGAUGCCACUGAUGAGGCUGUCCAGAACCAGGUCCCCAGGUACCAGAAAGGGGCAGCUGACCGUGCAGGUGGGAAAUUUCGCGGCGGUACAAGGGACCUGCCGUGAAUAUGAAUGACAUCUCCAGCACAGCCAAUAUUGCUGCUAAGCUGCAGUACUGUAUUUAUUUUUGAACUGCUGCUAUGUACAGUGUUAUAUAUACGAUUGCAUUAUCCUCUUAAUAUAUUUAUAGCUCUGUGAAUGUUCUUGAUUCUGACUGUAGUUGUAGUGUUAUGCCACCA